AUACGAGCUACCUUUUACUUUUAAAAGAAUGUAUAGAUGCUAGAAAAGUUUUGGGCUUGGAGGAGAUGAGUUUGGAUUCUCAGGCAAUGGGGCUAUGUUUCCUCACAAAGAGAACCGCUAUUUGCGCCGGCUAUGAGGGAUUAAAGUAUGUUCAAUAAAAGAUAAUUUAAAUUUAUUUUAUGCAAUAAUGAAUUUAAUUUUAUGUUUUGAUAGUUUAACAUGCUCUCCAUGUUAAAUCUCUAUAAAAGAAUAAAAAUCAAAUACGUAAAUCGUUCUACUUUAA